AGACUUUGAUCCGUGGCUCAGAUUGAACGCUGGCGGCAUGCCUUACACAUGCAAGUCGAACGGCAGCACGGAGCUUGCUCUGGUGGCGAGUGGCGAACGGGUGAGUAAUAUAUCGGAACGUACCCUAGAGUGGGGGAUAACGUAGCGAAAGUUACGCUAAUACCGCAUACGAUCUAAGGAUGAAAGUGGGGGAUCGCAAGACCUCAUGCUCGUGGAGCGGCCGAUAUCUGAUUAGCUAGUUGGUAGGGUAAAAGCCUACCAAGGCAUCGAUCAGUAGCUGGUCUGAGAGGACGACCAGCCACACUGGAACUGAGACACGGUCCAGACUCCUACGGGAGGCAGCAGUGGGGAAUUUUGGACAAUGGGCGAAAGCCUGAUCCAGCAAUGCCGCGUGAGUGAAGAAGGCCUUCGGGUUGUAAAGCUCUUUUGUCAGGGAAGAAACGGUGAGAGCUAAUAUCUCUUGCUAAUGACGGUACCUGAAGAAUAAGCACCGGCUAACUACGUGCCAGCAGCCGCGGUAAUACGUAGGGUGCAAGCGUUAAUCGGAAUUACUGGGCGUAAAGCGUGCGCAGGCGGUUUUGUAAGUCCGAUGUGAAAUCCCCGGGCUCAACCUGGGAACUGCAUUGGAGACUGCAAGGCUAGAAUCUGGCAGAGGGGGGUAGAAUUCCACGUGUAGCAGUGAAAUGCGUAGAUAUGUGGAGGAACACCGAUGGCGAAGGCAGCCCCCUGGGUCAAGAUUGACGCUCAUGCACGAAAGCGUGGGGA
rnacentral:rRNA from 1 species